GAGGGUGUAGCUCAGUCACAGAGUGCAUGCUCAGCACGCAUGAUGUCCUGGGUUCAAUUCCCAGUACCUCCA
rnacentral:tRNA from 1 species